UGGGAACCCUCCCUAUGGUUCGGAACAACCCAGGGAAACUUGGGCUAAUACCGGAUAAGUCCGUAAGGAGAAAGAUUUAUCGCCAAAGGAUCGGCCCGCGUCUGAUUAGCUAGUUGGUAGGGUAAUGGCCUACCAAGGCUACGAUCAGUAGCUGGUCUGAGAGGAUGAUCAGCCACAUUGGGACUGAGACACGGCCCAAACUCCUACGGGAGGCAG
rnacentral:rRNA from 1 species